GACGAACGCUGGCGGCGUGCUUAACACAUGCAAGUCGAACGGAAAGGCCCUGCUUUUGUGGGGUGCUCGAGUGGCGAACGGGUGAGUAACACGUGAGUAACCUGCCCUUGACUUUGGGAUAACUUCAGGAAACUGGGGCUAAUACCGGAUAGGAGCUCCUGCUGCAUGGUGGGGGUUGGAAAGUUUCGGCGGUUGGGGAUUGACUCGCGGCUUAUCAGCUUGUUGGUGGGGUAGUGGCUUACCAAGGCUUUGACGGGUAGCCGGCCUGAGAGGGUGACCGGCCACAUUGGGACUGAGAGACGGCCCAGAGUCCUACGGGAGGCAGCAGUGGGGAAUAUUGCGCAAUGGGCGGAAGCCUGAUGCAGCAACGCCGCGGGUGGGAUGACGGCCUUCGGGUUGUAAACCGCGUUCGCCUGUGACGAAGCGUGAGUGACGGUAAUGGGUGAAGAAGCACCGGCUAACUACGUG
rnacentral:rRNA from 1 species